UACGUAGGGUGCAAGCGUUAAUCGGAAUUACUGGGCGUAAAGCGUGCGCAGGCGGCUAUGCAAGACAGAUGUGAAAUCCCCGGGCUCAACCUGGGAACUGCAUUUGUGACUGCAUGGCUAGAGUGCGGCAGAGGGGGAUGGAAUUCCGCGUGUAGCAGUGAAAUGCGUAGAUAUGCGGAGGAACACCGAAUGGCGAAGGCAAUCCCCUGGGCCUGCACUGACGCCCAUGCACGAAAGCGUGGGGAGCAAACAGG
rnacentral:rRNA from 1 species